GCCAUAUCACGUUGAAACAUGUUCCCGUACGGUCACCGAAGUUAAGCAACGUCGAGCCUGGUCAGUACCUAGAUGGGUGACCGCAUGAGAAGACCAUGUGCUGUAA